GUGGGGAAUCUUGCGCAAUGGGCGAAAGCCUGACGCAGCAACGCCGCGUGGAGGAUGAAGGUCCUUGGAUUGUAAACUCCUGUCGAGCGGGAAGAAUGGCUCGGGUGCUAAUACCAUCCGGGUUUGACUGUACCGCGAGAGGAAGCCCCGGCUAACUCUGUGCCAGCAGCCGCGGUAAUACAGAGGGGGCGAGCGUUAUUCGGAAUUAUUGGGCGUAAAGGGCGCGUAGGCGGCCCGGUAAGUCGAAGGUGAAAUCCCCGAGCUCAACUUGGGAACUGCCUUCGAUACUGCCAGGCUUGAGUCCGGGAGGGGAGAGUGGAAUUCCCAGUGUAGCGGUGAAAUGCGUAGAUAUUGGGAGGAACACCGGUGGCGAAGGCGGCUCUCUGGACCGGUUCUGACGCUGAGGCGCGAAAGCGUGGGUAGCAAACAGGAUUAGAAACCCGUGUAGUCC
rnacentral:rRNA from 1 species